rnacentral:piRNA from 1 species
UCAUCUGAUUGGUUAACUUGUCUCUCA